GACGAACGCUGGCGGCGUGCUUAACACAUGCAAGUCGAGCGGAAAGGCUCCUUUCGGGGGUACUCGAGCGGCGAACGGGUGAGUAACACGUGAGUAAUCUGCCCUUGGCUUUGGGGAUAACUACCGGAAACGGUGGCUAAUACCGGAUACGACCACUCCUUGCAUGAGGUGGUGGUGGAAAGUUUUUUCGGCCAGGGAUGUGCUCGCGGCCUAUCAGCUUGUUGGUGGGGUAAUGGGCCUACCAAGGCUUUCGACGGGUAGCCGGCCUGAGAGGGUGACCGGCCACACUGGGACUGAGACACGGCCCAGACUCCUACGGGAGGCAGCAGUGGGAAUAUUGGACAAUGGGCGGAAGCCUGAUCCAGCAAGCCGCUGAGGGAUGACGGGCCUUC
rnacentral:rRNA from 1 species